AAUAGAUGACGCCGUUGACUUUUUCUCAUAUGUUUAACCAUUCGUCUUAUUUAAAAAAUUUACGUAAUUAUAAUUUAUUUUCUUAUGAGUUGUUUUAUCACUCAUAGUACUUUAAGUGUGAUUUAUAUAUUAUACAUUUGCAUAAAAUUUUUUAAUAAGACGAAUGGUCAAACAUGUGAGAAAAACUCAACGGCGUCAUCUAUU
rnacentral:pre_miRNA from 1 species